rnacentral:ncRNA from 1 species
AAGGCCUGAUGUGUGUGAGAUUACCCGCUGAAUUUAAGCAUAUAAGUAAGCGGAGGAAAAGAAACUAACUAGGAUUCCCUUAGUAAUGGCGAAUGAACAGGGAUCAGCUCAGUGCCAAAUCGGAAUCACUUGUGGUUCUGAAAUGUGGCUUGAAGGCAGUACCAGUGGCAUCGCGGACGAAAGUCUCUUGGAAAAGAGCGUCAUAGAGGGUGAGAAUCCCGUGAGUCGUUCGCCGUUUGUCACGUACGGUCUGCGUUCUAACGAGUCGCGUUCCUUGGGAUUGGAGCGUAAACGGGUGGUAAAUUUCAUCCAAAGCAAAAUAUAUACUCGAGACCGAUAGCACAAAAGUACCGUGAGGGAAAGGUGAAAAGAACUUUGAGAAGAGGGUUAAAUAGUGCCUGAAAUCGUUGAGAAGGAAGCGGAUGCCGCCGUUGCAUAUGCUGAUUGUAGGAUUGCUGCUCGCUCCUGUCUUCUGCUACUCAUUCACAGACCUGGUCGUGUUGAGCAGUUGUUUGGCAGAUGUUAGUGGUGUUUCCUACUUUCAGUCGUCAGCAUCACUGGCUGAGUGGAAAAAUCCUUGGAUGCUAAUUGGUUCGCUAUCUGUGAAUUGGUUGCUUCCUUGCGAUACUCACUACUCGGU